CCACCGGGUUAGCCAGGAUGGUCUCAAUCUCCUGACCUCGUAAUCCACCUGUCUUGGCCUCCCAAAGUGCUGGGAUUACAGGCUUGAGCCAACGCGCCCAGCCAACAGAAAUUUUAAUAGCCAGCACAGUUCUUUCCCAUUACUUAACUAGUGAAUAGGAAAGCUAAAAUUUCUACCAGAUUUUCAAUUGCUCUUGUUUUGGUCCAAUAUGCUGGUAUUUCCAGGGAUGAAGAACCAGGAGGCCAGUUGGUAACAGAUAAGUUCCAUAUUGACUAGGAUUCCGUACUCAUUGACAUGGAUAACGUCAUUGUAGCAAGAUUUGAUGGCAGAGGAAGUGGAUUCCUGGGUGUGAAAAUUUUGCAGGAGAUUCAUCGAAGAUUAGGUUCAGUAGAAGUAAAGGACCAAAUAACAGCUGUGAAAUUUUUGUGAAACUGCCUUAUACUGACUCCAAAAGAUUAAGCAUUUUUGGAAAGACAUCUGCAGUGUAUCAUGCCUUUGCAGUAUUCUACGCUUGUUGUCAACAAUAUUCAACAGGGAAAACAUCUAAGACAGUGAUCAUUCCAAAGAAGUGGAAACCCUAGAUAUAUUAAAAAGUAAAACGAAAUCCCGUCUCAGACUGCAGCACUGUUAAGCCUAAGGGACAUUGUGCAAGGUGAAGAUAGCCAGUCACAGAAAGACAAAUACUGUAUAAUUCUACUUAUUAAAUGAGAUAUCUAGAGUGGUUGAGUUCAUGUAAUCAAAGAGUGAAAUGGUGGUUGCUAGGGUUUGAGGGGAGAGGAAAAAGGGAAGUUGUUUUUUAGUGGAUAUAUGAUGGAUAUACAAUAAUGACAAGAAUGUAAACUAGUAAAGUAAAAAACAAAGAUAAAUAGAAAACAACCAAGACAGAAAGUACAAUUCACUGAAGAAAAAAAAAAAAAAAAAAAAAAAAAGGAUGGAAGGGAGACAAAAA